GUCAGGUGAUGAGAUUUGGCUUGCCUUGGCUAGCAAUGAGCCCAGCAAUCGUCACCUCUGGGAACUUCCUGGAGUCCUUUUUCAAGGGGCAAAUAGCUUUGGAAUGGAGGAAACUGGCAAAGUAGUUGAUUUUAUAUUAUUUUUAAAGCUAGGUAACUUCCCUGAGCUGUCAGGUUGAAAGGGUACAUUCAGGCUUAAUAUUUGUAACAUUUGACUUUAAAGAUGUGCCCCCCCCCCGUAAUUUCCGUAACAUAAAAUCACACGCAUAUCUUCAAGGCACUGUGAGAGAGCUUAAGGUCACUCAGCAGGAGACCCUGGGUUAAUGGACCCACUGUAAGGGUGACAUUCCACUCCCUCACCCUUUGGACCUCAAAGAAUGCCAGUGAGUAUGCAGCCUGGAAAAGCCUAGUCACAUAUCUAGACCAGCAAAUUGUGUCCAGCACAUUUUCCCUGCUGGUUCAAAGGGUCUUUACCACGAGCACCCACUUGUUAGUGUUCUGAUCUUGUAUUAAAUGUAUUUGUUGCUUUGGCUUUUUAAUUAUCUUAUGCAUACACCUAUUGUUAUGUACUGAGUUGAAUAGGAUCCAAAAUGCAGCAGUCUGAUUGGUCCUAGAACAAUAGGAUCCAAAAUGCAGCAGUCUGAUUGGUCCUAGAACAAUGCAGCAGUAUGAUUGGUUUGCAGGAGCCACCCAAUCCGGCUCCAGAUGGAAGUGAAUCCACAACCUGAUUGGCCUACAGGAGAAUUCCAGAAUUAACUAAUCACGUGCAGCCCAUUGUGUAAAUAAUGUAUAUAAAGCAGAUGCUUUGAGGGGACAUUCAUUCCUCCUCACCACUAUGAGCUGAAUAAAGAGCAUGAAAUCCACUCUCGACUCUGAAUAUAUUUCACCUUAUUUCAGGACACCCCCCCCAAAAAAGCCAAAAAACACGAUUUUCCGAUUGACUUGCCUAAGAUCGAGGACAAAGCACCACAUUUCAGAAAUUCCCCUGGGCGUCAAUUCUGCCUUGGAAAAUCUGGACGUAUGGCAGCCCUAAUACAUCAUGGUGGUUCAUAAGGUGAUUAGUAAAUCAAUGAUGAUGAUGAUGAUGUUAAAAAAAAUAGUAGCAAUAAUUUAUAUCCCUCCCUUCAGUGUAAAUAUUUAGUGGUUAACAGCAGCCCACUUCUUAUUCUUGCUCUGAUGCAUAACGUAGAAAGACACAGCUGAGGAAUUUCCAAAGUGGAGUUUUAUGCUGCAUGAGGGGUCUACAGUUUAAAGACGAUUUGUUUUAUUUUAUUUUGGGUGGGGUGGGGGGGAAACCUUCCUGAGUGUGCACAAGCCUUUGGACAUGUCUUAAAGUAGCACUUUGGGAUCUAGCCCAAAUAAUCUCAUUAGUGGGGCUGGUUUCUUUGCAGGAAAAGGUCUCCGUCUCAUAAAGACCUGGGGAAAGUACAGGGAAGAUUUUGGUCUGGGAAUAAGUCCUGAUUGUUAUUCUUUCCCCUAUUAAAAAAAGAAAAUAAAAAGACACACACGCACACACCCUUUUCUCAUGUCAUGUGCAUUUAAUUUCACUGUAUAGGGUAAUCCGGUGGGGCUUCAGAUUGUGCCAAGAAAUAUUUUCCCUGCUCCUUUUAUUUCCUCAGGUGAAUAGUGAAAAUUAGAAAGACAGGGGGAAGAUGAAAAAGGACAGGCAAGGGAUGCAGAGGUCCAAGAAAGUUAAGUAACACCAGUCUAAACAACGUGGUCCCCCUUCUUCCUGGCCCGUGCAAGGAGCAGUGAUUAUUUAUAACAAGGGAAGCAUCUGUCUUUGAUUAGUAUUUUCAUGGAGACUGCAGACUGUGGAGAAAUUACUAUGUGCGAGGGACGACCGCCAUCCUGCAGCCUCACAUUCCAGCAAACCAAAUUCAUCAUUCUCUCAGUUUGAAUGCCCCACUUUGCCCUAAGUGGAGUACAUCACAGAGUGCAAAGUUUGUGCCAGGAAAUUCAUCAAUAAAUACACGAAGCUGACUUAUGCAGAGUCAAGCCCAGAGCUGUCCACAAUGGAGCAGCAUUGGCUGUCUGGGAUUAUAAGCGAGAGGGUUGAUCAGUUCAAGCUAAAGAUUCGGGGAGUUGAAACUGGGACCUUUUGCAUGCAGAACCACUGAACAUAUUGUGAUGUUAACAUAUGAGAGUGCUGGAGGUGAAAUAGUUAAACAGGUUACCCAAUCAGAACCCCGGGGGGUGGAGUCAGAGGGACUAUAAAACCAGCUCUGUGAGGGGCAAAGGGAAGAGUUUGUUGGGAGUUGGGUGGUUGGUUGGAGUGAAUUGGGAUAGACUCUGUGGGUAGGUUGAGUUAGUGUAGUGAAAUAGGCUGAGUCAGGAACAGUUAGGAGCUAGGAAGACAAGUAAAUAUCAGAGAGGUGGUUUAGUGAGUGAGAGCAGGUAGCGGAAGUUAUAGGUCUGGAUAGGCAGCCUAUGAAUGUAAUUGACUGAUACCGUUUAUGAAACCACAUGCUUGUUAAACUGCAAUAAAUAAACUGAAGUUUAUGUUCCAAUUUAAACCUGACUGGACUCAGUAUUGUCCCAGGUAGGGCCUGGGUGGUGGCAGCGAGAAAUAAAGUGGUGGCACAGGGAUCAACGGACGGUGAAACGUCCGGGGACCCUGUGUGAUCGCCACACAUAUAACCAUGGGCUUCUCCAAAGAAAUUCUGUUCAGCUUGGGAUCUUCUUCAUGCAUAGUUGGGAGUAGGCCCCAAUGAACACAGCAGAGCUUAACUCUGAGUGAAUUCGGAUAGGAUCAGAUUGUUAACUGAUGAAGCAGGGGAAGCAGUGAGAUCAUGCAAUGGUUUCUCGGCAAGCAUGAAAAUUCAAAAUCUUUUGUGAGGAUACUAUGAAAGUAAAUAAAAUUAAAAAAAACUUUUCAAUGGAAACAGAGAACAGGGUUGUUGUAUUUUUGUAUAGGGCUUUAAGAGAGCUGAAGGCAUUGUUACCUAUAGUACAGAAAUUUUUUUUAUUAGCAUUCAUUGUUGCUGCUGCUUUCAAUCUGCAAAUGAAACACAACAUAUGUUUUCCCCCUUCCAUCUGCCCAGUGUUUCCUGGGCGUGGAACAGCGUAAUGACAGAGGAAUUUAUGUCAUUAAAUUAUGCAAGUUAGGUAGUUUUUGGUCAAAGGCGACCUGCAGCAGCAUGGAAACAGCGCUGUAUCUGACAAACACAGGGCAGAACAAAAAACGAUGCCUUCUUACAUGCCCCAAGGGUGAGCAACAUUGAAAAAUUCUCUGAAAUAUCAAAAAUGCAAAUUCUCUAAAAUAGCAGUGAUCUCUCAAGGCUAGGGCAGAGAUCAGGUUUCCAGACCUAGUUUUGCAUUUAUUUAUUUAGCCUCCAGGGGACAAAUCCAUCUCCAUGCGAACGGAAAAGUAGCAGUGUGCAGGUCGGCUGGAAGACAGAAAUUACUUACCUACCUUCUCCCCCACCCCAAAUUGCUGACAGCCGAUCUUAGUUGGGAGCACAAAUUGUAAUUUACCCACUUGGUUCUUGACUUUCAGAAACAGUACCAGAGAGGACAUUUCGUAACCUGACAGGCAAGCCACAUCCCAAGGUGUAGUUGCCCAUCAAGAUCCGUGCGACUGACAGUGCUUUCUUAAUGCAUCUCUCCUUCAAGUCAUGGUGAGACAGACAGAUUUGAUGCUCAAACAUUUUUGCAUUUGAUAUGGUGCCAGGUGAUAGCAGCUUGUCACUGGCAGCAAGCCUCCUGCCUGUCUGCUUCAAAUCACCCUGAGCAAACUUGGACUCUGCAGACUUCCUUUUAAAAAAAGUGUGUGGGGGGGGGGAAUUCAAGCCCUGGAACCAAAUAUGGUUCCCUUGAGAUCUCUGUCUCUUGCCCCGAGAACUCUCCCAAGACCCUUUCUCACAUCCCAGGUGUUUUCUCCUGCCUGGAAGGUGUCCCGGAAUGCCAGUAAUGUCUCUUGCUUGUCGGGAUGGAUGAGAGAGAGGAGGCUGUGAGUGUGCAUGUCGAAACUAGCCUACUGUACCAAAGUAAAAGUUGCACAUACGGCUCCACCCACUUCUGCAACUGGCCCCGCCCACCACUGGCUUAUGGCUCCCAGAAGGCUCAAAACACUUUCCUUUUUUCAAAUAUAUAUAUAAUUUUUGUUAGAUUUUCUGUUUUACCAUUUCAAAUACUCAUUUAAACAUCCUUAUAACAUCAAUGACUUCCCUUCUUUUCUUUCCAUGGUUCAUUUUGCAUACCCUAAAUCCCUGCAUAUUUUACAUAAACGAAACCAUUCAGUAUUCCAUUAUUACAUCCUUAUUUACACUGUUGAAUUUAUCGUUAUGCUGCCAGCAUUUUCAAGUGUACACAAUUUCCCCCAAAAAAUAAGCAUUUCCCAAUCUUCUUUAAACGUAUCUUCUUCUUGUUCUCUGAUUCUAUAUGUUAAGACUGCAAGGUGCGCAUAUUCCAUCAGUUUAAGUUGCCAUUCUUCUUUAGUUGAGACCUCGCUCGUUUUCCAUUUUGGGGCUGCAGUAGUGGCAUACAUAAAGAACCUUUUCUGACACCUGGGAAUUUCCACCUGAAUUAUCCCCAACAAAAAAGGACUCUAUUUUUGGGGGAAGAUACUCUUAAAAUGCUUUCCUAACCCUGUUUUAAUAUGUAUAAUGGUGAGGACUUCUGGAGGCGGCGCCAGCGAUUAGUGGCGGAUUUCCUCCACCGGAGGAAAUCUCACUGCGAAUUAAGGGUCGGAUCCCGCUUUCGGCGUAGCGGGGGACCCUCAAAAAUCACAGGCGGGAGAAGCCUGUGAGCCUGGGACCCAGCAGGCACAUUUGGCGCCCCCCCAACCCGGUAGGAAGCCCGGCAACGGGCUUUGAAGCGGAGCGGGGAGAGCGCUGUGCUGUGGGCUGUCUGCUCGUUCGUGGUGUGAAGCCGCAAGCUGUUGAUCGGAGAGCGCUGCCUUUCUUCCUUAAAAUCCGGACCUGAAAAUCAACGAUCCGUGAGUAGGAUACAAUUUAAAUUGGAACUGUACAAAACUGGAAUCUGGCCGAAAACGGAAAGAGGCUUAAAAAGGAAGUCAGCCUCUUUAUUUGUAGAUAAAAUAAAGCAUUGAACUUGAAAGCGGAAGCAAUUGAAAAGUACGUUUUAGCGGACUUUAAUCCAAUCAUCCAACCUGGACUUUUCCCUUUCUAAAUUGAGGGAAAAGGGGGGAGAAUUGUGGAUGUGAUUUCUUCAUAAAGAGUGGAAAGAAGGGAUCGAACCACCACUCAAUUCCCUGGGAAAGGAUCCCCAGAUCUCAGGAAAGAAAGAGAGGUACUGUCUUGUAAUAUAUUUUGACAGCUAGUCCUGCACAAGAAAUAAAAGUUUGGACAAUUUAUGCGAAUAUAUAUCUCCUGGUCCUAAGUUAAAAAUUGUGAAUAGACUGUUUUCGUCCUGAAUAAACUAGGGGGGCUUAAAAAAAAAAUAAAAAAUUAAAGUAUCCAAGAACUUUUAUGACUGUUACAGUGUCCCCCUAGUGGAACUUGGAACUGUUACAAUUUGUUACAACUGAAACUGUAGCAGACUUGAGGAGUUGUCACACUGCUUGGCAGGAAAUUUCCACUGUUCAAUUUCAAAUACGUGACUGACCUUGAGCAUUAUCUAAGGAAUGGCAGAUGGGAAAGAGAAGGCGGAUGCUUCGACCACAAGAUCGGGGAGGCCUCUUCGCACAGAAGAAGGAUUACAAAGGAGAUCUUCGGCCUCAGGCCCUUCUGGAACCUCAACAACAGCCUCAUCGGCACAAUUAAAGGUAAAAAGCACGACAAGUGAGGAAGCCUUUGCUCAAGUUUUGGCCAAAGUUAAUGAAUCUUUGAAUAGAAUAAGUCAACAAGUAGCAGAGGCUUCUGAUAAGAUUGAUCAAAAUACAAUAAGUAUUAACCAGAAUACAGCAAGUAUUAACCAGAAUACAGCAAGUAUUAACCAGAAUACAGCAAGUAUAAAUCAUUUGGGCCAAAAAGUAAAUACUAACACAGAGACUAUUCAGAAAUUAUUAGAGGAAUCGGCCUCAAUACGCCAGAUUGCUGAAGAGGCUAAAGAAAUUGCUACAACUUCUGCUACGGAAGUUAAAGAGGUUCAAGAGGAAUUACCAACACUGCACAAACAAUUGGAAGACCAUAAACUAACCCUGUCUAUGAUAGAUUUGAAGGAAAAGCAAGUGAAUCUGCGGGUCAGAUCGGUACCUGAGGUGGAAAAGGACAAUCUAGCUGAAUUUCUCACGCAGGAAUUUUUGGACUUUUGGGAUCCAGAAUUGGUAAAAGACAGUUUCAGAAUAGUAAAUGCCUUCAGACUCGGGAGAAGAGGAGAGAAGAAGGUGAGAGACUGUCUGAUUACUUUUCGAACAAAAGAAGAGAGGGAUAAGAUUUUGGGCCUACAUUUCAAGAAGACACUGGAAAUCCAUCGGACAAGGGUGGAAAUAUUCAAAGAUAUUCGAAAUAUCUUCUGGAUCUCAGAUCAAAAUAUAAAGACUUGGUUACCCUGCUGAGAAGGAACAAUAUCAAUUUCAGGUGGGAACUCCCUCAAGGCCUGUCUUUUAGCUAUAAAGGAAAGAAGAGGAAAAUAAGAUCGGAAGACGACAAAGACAAAUUUUGUAGAGACCACGGAGAAGACCUACAAAAAGAACUAUCUCCGGAACCAAAAGACCUUUCGAAAGAAGGGAUACCACCGACGGAUGAGGAACAGGCACUAGGUGCAGUAGGAGGAGAACUAAAACAAUAACAUCAUGGCCCUGCAACUUUUAACAUGGAACUGUCGGGGUUUGAUUCCCCUCAGAAGAGGAAGUCAGUAUUUCAUAUAUUAAAAAAGGAACAAUUGGACCUAAUUUGUUUACAAGAAACACACAUAACAAGAUUACACAGGAAAUUGUUGAUAAAUAAAAGACUUGGUCAGGAAUUUAUUUCGUCAGAUAAAGUUAAAAAGAGAGGGGUUGUGAUUUACGCAAAAGACAAUUUAUCACCAAAAUUUGUUUUUAAAGAUGACCAAGGAAGAUUUGUGGCAAUUGAAAUUCAAACACAAGGAGAAAAAUGUUUGAUUGUAGGAGUUUACGCACCAAAUGAUGGGAAAUCUGAUUUUUUUAAGAAGUUGCAUGAGAUCUUGAUGGACCAUAUGGAUUACAACAUGAUUUUGAUGGGAGAUAUGAAUGGAGUGGUAUCUACUUAUAUGGACAAGGCACAAAGACAGGUAGUCACCAAAGAUGGUAGACUACCGAAAACCUUUUUUGACAUGACAGACAACUUGGACUUAGUGGAUAUUUGGAGAAUUAGAAACCCCUUGGCAAAAGAGGGAACUUUCUUUUCUGAAGCCAAAAUGACUUGGACAAGAAUUGACCCAAUUUGGAUAACUAGAGGAAUGGCACCAAAGACAAGAAAGGUGGAAAUCUGCCCGAAAAUUUGCUCCGACCAUAAUGCUGUUAAGAUGGAAAUGAGACUAACACCAACUGGCUCCUUCAGAUGGAAGAUGAACGACACCUUAUUUAGAGAUGAAGAAUUUCUUAAGAAGGCCCCAAAAACUCUAAGAGAUUACUUCGAGAUAAAUCUUAGUUCCAACGUGGAGAAAAGAGUAAUCUGGGACGCAAGUAAAGCUGUUAUGAGAGGGUUCUUAAUACAACAGAAUGCGAUAAAGAAAAAAACUCAAAAUGAAAAGAAGGAUAAAAUUAUGAACAAAAUGAAUGAAUGUGAAAAAAGACUGAGAGUAAAUCCCAAAUCUCAAGAGAUUCUGAGAGAGUUAAAGUUAUAUCAAGUACAAUAUAUGAAAAUAAUGAAUCAGGAAAUAGAAUGGAAAAUUAAACAAAUGAGACAAAAGACUUUUGAAUCGGCCAAUAAAUGUGGUAAAUUGUUGGCAUGGCAAAUGAAAAAGAGACAAAAAUUAAAUACGAUUACGAAUUUAGAAGUGGAAGGAAGGAAUAUACAGAACCCUGCAGAGAUUAGAAGUUGUUUCCAGAAGUAUUUUAAAAGACUAUAUACUCAAGGGCCAGUGAAAGAAACAGAUUUAGACCAAUUUUUGAAAACAAAUGGACUACAAAAAUAUCUCAAGAAAAGAGACUAAUUUUGAAUGACAGAAUAACUGAACAGGAAAUAGAAGGUGCCAUUCAAAAUAUGCAACUGGGUAAAUCUCCAGGACCAGACGGCUUGACCUCUAGAUACUACAGAUCUUUAAAAGAAUGGUUAAUUCAACCAUUGAAAGAGGUCUGUAACGAAAUUAUGGAGGGGAAGAGGGCACCAGAGUCGUGGAAAGAAGCAUAUAUUACACUUGUACCAAAAACAGAGACUGAAAAGACACAACUUAAGAACUACCGCCCUAUAUCAUUACUUAAUGUGGAUUACAAAAUUUUUGCAGAUAUUUUGGCGAAGAGAUUCAAAAAGUGCUGUUGGAAGAGAUUCAUAAAGACCAAGCGGGCUUUCUCCCAGGAAGACAUUUGUCUGAUAAUUUGAGGAAUAUAAUUGAUAUCUUGGAAAAAUUAGAAGUGAAUAUAAACACUAAAGCAGUGUUGAUAUUUGUAGACGCGGAGAAAGCCUUUGACAAUAUUUCUUGGAAUUUUAUGAAGAAGAAUCUUCAGGGUAUGGGGGUAGGCCAAGGUUUUGAGAAUGGUAUAAGUGCAAUUUAUUCAGAACAAAAGGCUAAACUAAUUGUAAAUAAUGUUGUGACGGAAGAACUUAAAAUUGAAAAAGGGACACGACAAGGUUGCCCAAUUUCCCCACUUCUUUUUAUUUCGGUCCUGGAGGUUCUGCUGAAUAUGAUUAGAAGGGACCAGAUGGUUAAAGGUAUACAGGUCGGAAUUAAACAUUAUAAAUUGAGAGCAUUUGCAGAUGACUUAGUAUUGACGUUACAGGAGACAGAAUCUAGUACAAAAAGGGUUUUAGAACUGAUUCAAGAAUUUGGUCAAGUGGCAGGAUUUAAAUUGAACAAGUCAAAAACCAAGGUUCUAGAGAAAAAUUUAACACCGUUUGAAAGAGAGAGGUUUCAGAAUGAGACAGGUUUAACAGUGGUUAAGAAAGUUAAAUACCUGGGGAUUAACAUGUCAGCAAAUAAUGGGAAUUUAUUUAAAGAUAAUUAUGAAAAAUGUUGGUCAGAAGUGAAAAAAGAUUUAGAAAUUUGGUCAAAUUUGAAGCUUUCACUGCUGGGCCGUAUUGCUGCGGUAAAAAUGAAUGUAUUGCCUAGAAUGUUGUUUUUGUUUCAAACUUUGCAGAUCGUGGACAAAAUGGAUUGUUUCAAGAGGUGGCAGAAAGAUAUUUCUAAAUUUGUCUGGCAGGGCAAGAAACCCAGAAUAAAAUUUAAAAUACUAACGGAUGCAAAGGAAAGAGGUGGAUUUGCCCUGCCAGACCUUAAACUGUACUAUGAAUCAGCAGCCUUUUGCUGGUUGAAAGAAUGGCUACUUCUUGAAAACACUGACAUUUUGGAUCUAGAAGGUUUUAAUAAUGUAUUUGGAUGGCAUGCAUAUUUAUGGUAUGAUAAGGUCAAAGCACAUAAAGCAUUUAAAAACCACAUUGUCAGGAAAGCGCUAUUAUCCCCAACAAAAAAGGACUCUAUUUUUGGGGGAAGAUACUCUUAAAAUGCUUUCCUAACCCUGUUUUAAUAUGUAUAAUGGUAACUGGGGCUGGAUCUACAUUGAUCUUCUAAACAUUAUUAAAAAUAACGUUCUAUAACAUUUGAUGGCAGUUUCCUUUUGCUGGUGGCUUUCUGCUCUGCAGCACCCUCUGGUAUCACAUUUUAAUAACACAUUUUUAACGUUAUAAACAACUACUGUAGAUCUGCCAUUGGUUAAAAAGGCAAAAGAAACCUCCUCUGAUGGAGCAAAAUACUGUACUGUUCAAGAAAAGCUCUUACACUAACAUAGGAAGCUGAGUCAGAUCAUGUAGCCCAUUACUGUCACCACUGGCUACCAAUGACACUCCUUAAAAUUUCAGGUAUGGGUUCCUUCCAGAUUCACCUGGUAACUGAACCUAUGACUUCUGUAUGUAAAGCAGCUGUAAAGCACUGACCUACAGCUCUCCCCACAAGAGUGAGGGGAUCACACCUAGUAGUGAUACCUCAGUCAAAAAAACAAAAACUUGUGCAACUCAUUUGACCCAGGAAGGAAAAGCACUUUCACUCUUGAUACGAAGUAUCUAUAUCAAUGACUAAGGAGGAAAUCCUGAACCCACUUACCUGGGAACAAGCUAAGUGAACUGGAUUCAGCUGAAUCCUGAACUGAUUUGGGCUGAUUUGUAUCCUGUAUGGAUUGGGUUGAAGCAGCUAUAAAUCACUACAAGACAGUUAUUGUUGCAGUUAUUAAUCACACCGCCAAAUCAGGUGAAUGCCAGGGUGUGGGGAGAGGGAAGGCCAGAAUGGCCUCACUCAACCCAACUCUCUCCAAUCAAUCCUUCUUCCCAGGGAUCUCUGUGAGGGGGAUAGGGGUCUCCUAACAACUCUCAGCACUCUUAACAAACUGUUGUUCAAAGGAUUCUUGGGCGAAGCCAAGAGUGUUUAAAGUGGUAUAUACUGCUUUAAAUGGACAAUGCAGAUGACAUCCAAUAUUGCUUUAUAUGUAUGGUACUGAUUUAGCCUUAAACAGAAAGUCAGAGUCAACUUUUAAAAAAAUGAACAAGAUGGUAAAGAAAUACAUCUAAGAAUGAAGGCUAAGUGUCUUUCCAAUUUUCUGGAACAAAGUAAUAACACGGUUCUAGGAAUCUUAGCACUUACUGUAUUUUUCGCUCUAUAAGACGCACCAGACCACAAGACGCACCUAGUUUUUGGAGGAGGAAAACAAGAAAAAGAAUAUUCUGAAUCUCAGAAGCCAGAACAACAAGAGGGAUCGCUGUGCAGUGAAAGCAGCAAUCCCUCUUGCUGUUCUGGCUUCUGUGAUAGCUGCGCAGCCUGCAUUCGCUCCAUAAGAUGCACACACAUUUCCCCUUACUUUUUAGAAGGGAAAAAGUGAGUCUUAUAGAGCAAAAAAUACAGUAAAUCUUUUGGUGCUCCAUCUCCCAUUGUCUACACAAGCCCAGAUUUAACAACAAGUUGAAUGAAUGACUGAGGUAUUUUACUCAAUACAAAUUGGUUUGGGGUUUUUUUGUGUUUGCCCGUAUGUGGGGCAGACAUGGAGGACUUUGUGAAAUAAAAAAUUAUCAGUGCUGUCUUUGAAGUGCAAGAUCAAUUAGGAAGAGAGGAACACAGAAAGCUGCCUUUUCCAAAGUCAGACCAUUGGUCCACCUAGCUCAGUACAGUCUUAAGCAAUAGGCAGACCAAGCCUGUGCUGAGGGCAGCAGCAAGUCAGGAGUGCACACACAAAAAUGAGAUUUUUUUUUAAAAAAAUUAGACAUUGUGUGUGUGUGUGUGUACACACACAGUGGUACCUCUGGUUGCAAACAGGAUCUGUUCCAGAGCUCCAGUUGCAUCCCGAGGAAUUCACAAUGGAGGUGCUGCUUCUGCGCACGUGCACGGUGCGGUUUUGCGCUUCUGUGCAUGCACAUGUUGUGUAGAGUGCUUCUGCGCAUGUGCGCAUGGCGAUACCCGGAAAAAUACUUCCGGGUUUGUCGUGUACAUAUCCUGAAGGAUACGUAACCAGAGGUGAAUGCAAUUAGAAGUACCACUGUAUUUAAAAUCAUCAAAGUGAUUGUGAUGGGGAAAAUCAGAACUUUGUUAGGUUUCCUUACAAUUCUCUAACACAGACUGAAAGAUAAAAAUUUGAAGAAUAAAAUUCAGUUUUGGGUUCAGCAUUAUUUUUGUUAUGGUGAGCACCAUAACCUUUUCAGCGCUUAGGGUCUCUAAAGGUCUCAUUCUAACCGUAUGUGCACUGGAUGCGAGGGGCUCUCGCGGGUUCCAGGCAGGAAAGGGUCUCUGCUCUCACCUUCUGCAUGCAAAGCAGUUGCUCUAUCACUGAGCUACAGCCUAUGUAGUGAAUCAAGAUCACUGAACUGAACAUGAGAGCAUAGAAAAUGUAAGAGGCACAAAAAAUGGAGACGAUUUCAUUCCCCACCCGCCUUUCUAAUUACCAUCUUCUAACCUGAGAUUGCGUUGCUUAAAAGAGGCCAAGACAACCUGCCAGCUGAAUUUUUGCGCCUGGUGUCCUCCAGAUUCUGGCAGUCACCUUCAUUACUGGCGAAAAUGGAACGGCAAAGCUAGCAUGAAAAAUGAGGCAGAACCCCCAUCACUAUGGUCUCCUGCAAGGAGACAAAGGGAGAGGAAACUCACAUGCGUAAAAAUUGACACAUGGCACAGCCUCCUUUAAGCUGCACAGUGGCAAGUUACUGGAGGUAGCAAGGGAGCCGCUCUUUGCAAAAAGAGAAAAGUGCUUUCAAGGAAGCUGUGUGUUUAUUUAUGAUAAACAGAACACAUGCAUCACUUUUGAUGAAACAAUGCAAGGGAAAACCAUGAGAUAGGACGAGGCGAAGCAACUCAACAGCAUCCUUUUUGCAAUACAAUCAGGCAUGCAAAGGACAUGUUAUUUCCAUUAUUUGGGGUGUGCAUGAACCCCAAGUCGGUGUGUAUUUGUGCUUGGCCAAUGCAAGGUGAGAUCUUUACAAGACUCACCCAAUCAAGUCUCUCCAAAAGGCUUGGUUCAGCUGUGUUUACAUGGUUGCUGCAAAACAGAAGAAAAAGCAGACUUUCCCUUUGGCAAAACAUGAAACCAAAUUUACUGUAUGGAAAACAGCCUUGGUCAGAGAGCAGGGAAAGUGAGCAGGAUAGCUGGUUGUGAUUGACAGGUCAGAGUCAAUUUCUGAUCACAGUUCUUUGUGGCAGAGAUGUUGGAAAUAAAGAUGUUUGUCUUAUGCGCUCGUUGGUCUUUUGCAGGUUCUGCCUAUUUCCUAAGAAGGACACUUACAAGAGUUCUGCAGGAUUAGGAUUGGGCAGUGUCCCUAACAGGGCUUUUCUUCAGCCAGAACUCACUGCAACUCAGUUCUGGCACCUCUCAGGUGGGCGCCAUUGCCAUUAUAAGAGAACAAAGGAGGCGUUCGUGGUGAGUUCUGCACCUCUUUUUCUAGAAAAAUAGCACUGGUCCCUACUCUUCCUGUCACAAACAAUUAGG